UGCUUGAAGGAGGCAGGACAACAUGAGAAUUCAGCAGCGUGGCUGCACAGGAUUUAGAAUUUGUAAUUUAUUUAUAAACAGUGGCUUUCCUGCAUCCGGGAGGCAGGUGGAACCGAGCGAUGCCACAUGACCCAAACUCCGUGUUCCUCUGCUUCCCCACGUGUGAACUGGGUGCUGAUCCCGCUGCCCUCAGAGGUUCCAGGGAGUCACUACAGUUUGACUCCCUCAGUACCCAAUCCCAGGCUCAUCCCUCCAGCCUCCCUGUUUUUUUUUGGAUUUGCGAGGGUCCAUACUUUCACAGACUUCCUUGGAGGUAGGGUGGCUAUUUGACGUGAGUCUGGCCAGAGAGAUGGACAAACUCAUAGAUGUCUCCUGGGUUCCUUUCUUCCUGCCUUAAAGAUGGGUGUGGUCCUGGAACUGUGGCACCCGUCUGGCAAGGAGAGAAGAGGUCAGUGUCGGCAACGGCUUACCUCGUCUCUGAGCUUCUCGAGUGUGCAGAAGACACAUCCGGGUUCGCUUAAGCUACAGCUGGGUGGCCCUGCGCAAAGGCAUACGGUGCUGAGAUCGCUCCUGGACACCAGAAAUGAAUCCACGAGUGGAACGGUUCCUGUUUUUACGGUGAGUUACAUUCCUGCAUUGCAAGAAGGCAGAUUUUCCUUGAAGCGUGAUUUCGUAAACCUAGUACGCAAUCUAGAAUCAAGCAAAGACGGGUAGUUGUUCUUUUUGCAAACACGUGGCAAUGGGGCUCCGUACCACACCACGUCCUGGACGUCUGUGUGUGUGCUUUCGUGGUGGGCGCCGUUGCUCAAAACCCGCUUUGGAUCUUUGCACGGACACCCGCUUCAGAGCCGGCUUAUUGGUCAGAGAAGCAGACUGGUGCCCUUGAACACGGCCUGAGGACAGUCCAAAGCCCCAGAGUCGGCCUCUCAGCUUCUGCCUUUCUCCACAUCUCUUCCUUCUUCCUCAAGAGUCAGGAAAAAGCCCUCGAUUCCCGGAGGCAGGUUGUGUGGCUGCCACCCCCCCGCCCCCGGCAUCAGAGAUCAGAGCGGCCGAGCGGAGGCGAGGGCAGAGGGGUGAUGGCCUGGGCCGAGGCCACGGCCAGGUGAGAGCUGGGAGGAAUCGCGGAAGCCAUCGCUGCCCUCUCCGCGGCUAAGAAGGGGCUUCUCAGAGGCACCGUGCGUUCCCUCCCCAAACCUCGCGAAACCAGCCACGGGGGCCACUCUGAUUAUCUGGCGGGACCCCGAGGCACCGAGA
rnacentral:lncRNA from 1 species